GAUGAAGAAUGCAGCGAAAUGCGAUAAGUAAUGUGAAUUGCAGAAUUCAGUGAAUCAUCGAAUCUUUGAACGCAUCUUGCGCUCCUUGGUAUUCCUUGGAGCAUGCCUGUUUGAGUAUCAUGAGCAAAUCUCAAAGUCAAUUCCUUUUGUUGAUUCAAUUGGUUUUGCUUUGGACUUGGAGGCCUUGCAGAUUUCACAGUCUGCUCCUCUUAAAUGCAUUAGCUGGAUCUCAGUAAUUAUGCUUGGUUCCACUCGGCGUGAUAAGUAUCACUCGCUGAGGACACUGUUAAAAAGGUGGCCAGGAAAAUACUGAUUGAACCGCUUCUAACGGUCUAUUAAGUUAGACAAUUACCCUUAAGUUUGAUCUCAAAUCAGGUAGGACUACCCGCUGAACUUAAGCAUAUCAAUAAGCGGAGGA
rnacentral:misc_RNA from 1 species